rnacentral:rRNA from 1 species
GACGAACGCUGGCGGCGUGCUUAACACAUGCAAGUCGAACGGAAAGGCCCUGCUUGCAGGGUACUCGAGUGGCGAACGGGUGAGUAACACGUGGGUGAUCUGCCCUGCACUUCGGGAUAAGCCUGGGAAACUGGGUCUAAUACCGGAUAGGAGCCAUUUUUAGUGUGAUGGUUGGAAAGUUUUUUCGGUGUAGGAUGAGCUCGCGGCCUAUCAGCUUGUUGGUGGGGUAAUGGCCUACCAAGGCGGCGACGGGUAGCCGGCCUGAGAGGGUGGACGGCCACAUUGGGACUGAGGUGCGGCCCAGACUCCUACGGGAGGCAGCAGUGGGGAAUAUUGCACAAUGGGCGCAAGCCUGAUGCAGCGACGCCGCGUGGGGGAUGACGGCCUUCGGGUUGUAAACUCCUUUCGCUAGGGACGAAGCUUUUUGUGACGGUACCUAGAUAAGAAGCACCGGCUAACUACGUG